rnacentral:rRNA from 1 species
AACAAGCGGACGGAGUCACCAAUCACCAUGUUGUCACCCGCCGCCAUGCAUGGUGACAUGUAUGACAUGUAUGACACAUGGCAC